AGACUGGAAAUCAAUGUAUAAUAAUGCAAAUCUGCAGUCUCAGACGAACAUAUUCUAAAUUAGGCCCGGGUCAGCUGCACAAAAACUUGUCUGUUGACAAAACAGAGCAUCGUGGAAUUUUGGAUCUUCCCGGUUAAAUUCUAACAACAUGUGUUUUCUUAAAAUAAACUGGCUGGGCUAGCAUUUAUCACCCUUGAGAAGGUUGUCCAUGCAUUGUAGAUAGACCCACAAUUCUGUUCGGAAUUCCAGAAUUUUGACCUAGCAUCAGCGAAGGAACAGUGAUUUAUUUCCAAUUCAGAAUGAACCAUGGACUGCCUAUUUUGGAGUUCCUAGAAAUAUGGGAAGCCUAUUAGGAGAUACAGGCCCAUUGGUGAAUCCUGGAGCAGUGGAAGUCUUGGGCAAUGAGUCCCAGAGCAGUGUGGCCAAUGGGUCCUGGAGCAGCGUGGGCAGCAAGCCCCAGAGAAACAAGGCAGCGAGCCCUGGAGCAGAGCGGGCAGUUCAUGGACAG